rnacentral:lncRNA from 1 species
CGUUCUGUGAGGGGGCGCGCGUGCCGGAGGGGCGGCGAUGUGGGGCGGCGGGAUGCUUGCUGUUAGUUGGUUGUACCCUUCACCGUGGUAAAAUCCACGAAUUCUGUUUGAAAUGAACCUUGCUCUCUUCUGGGCUCAGCCUGAGGCGUUAGAGCUAUAAGUGUGAGCUGUCUGCAGCGCUCGGGCAGCCGUGGGGAGCUCCGUCCUCCCAUCUCCUCACCUCUCCAAAAUGGCGCUGCGGGGUUUCACAGCGCUGUGCGGUGGAGGGAUGGUUGUUUUUUCCUCAUCUCCACAGAGUGCUUUGACGCGUUGCAAAACAGGCAAGAAAAAAGAUCGCCAAAAAUGUAACCAUCUGCAGAGGUCUCUGGGGCAGGAACAUUUUCUCUCCUCUUUAAAUGUGAUCAGCAGGACAAGAAGCUGAAGGUAUGACCAGAAGUCUUUCCUUCUCUUGUCGUUCAUUCACCUGAUAAAAUGAAUUUCAGCCUUCAAGCACAAAUAAAAGUGGAGCAAUACAGAUACAUCAGCCCAGAACCUCCCAGAACAUCCGACGUGUGGACUAGUACACCAGUAAAAGAUGAGGAGAUUUCCUGGUAAAUUUAUACAUUUCUUUGCUGAGAAUCCUGGAUCUCCUUUCCCUCUCAUGCACCUCAGUAUACAGCUUCCAACUCUUGUGCAUUUGCAGGCACAGGAGAUUAUUUCGUUUGGAACUGGAAAGAUUAAAACCUGGCAGAAAUGUGGCAAAACGAUCAGGAUUGCUGCUUAAAACAUCUGUCACGAAACUCAAAGAGGGUUUAAGACUGGACAGUGCAAAUCAAGUGAAAAUGUGGACGCAGCCCUGGGGAUUUGGACCUGAAUAAUACAGCCUCUUCCAUGAGCAAUACGAGUGCUGCUAUGGACAUCCAAAUCAGCCACCGCACGUGAGGAUCGGAUUAGAUUGAUAGUGGAUAUUUUUUCUGUAAGGAAGUGGAGUUCUGGCUUAAGAGAAGCAGCUGGAAAGUGUACAGAGAUGAUUCUCAUCUCAGAGAAUUACUUUCAGAGUGAUUUCCCUGGACAAUAUGUUCAAAUUAAACUGGGCAUGGAAGAAGAACACGUGCUAUUUCCAAUUAAAAAUAUCCGUAUUAAAUACCUAUGUGUACGUAAAGAUAUAUACAGAGAUACAAACGUGCUUACAUCCUGCGUGAUAUCUUAGCCUAUGCAAACGUAGGUCUGCUCACACACAACGGUUAAGCUAAGCUUACAUAUGGUGAUGAAGAGAAAAUCAUGGAAGAACUAGAAGAGUUACAGGGGUAGCAUCACCUACUCACCGGUGGUCUCGUAGUGAUGGCAGUGAAGUCUCGGUCUGCACAGCUGCCUCUCCUUGCCAACCUCCUGUGAUGUUCCAGUUGUAAUGACAGUGAGUGCCUUUCACCUUCUUUUAUACCUGCCCAAUAAUCACCACAGCACUUUGUGACUAAGACCUUUCCUCUUGUGUCAGUGGAAGGAGAGAGCUCGCUACUUCCAAUGAGAAUAAAUCUCAGAUGCUAAAAUGUUCAGCUGUGACUAAGGAGAAGAUGACGACUCUGUGGGAAGUGUGUUAUUCUUUUGCUGUCUCCUGUUUUGUUGUUGUUUGGGUGGGUUUUUUUGUUUGUUUGUUUGUUUUUUGAGACCUUUAUUCUGAUGCACUGCUAUGGAGCCCCGAGGUAAUGGAAAAGGGAUAUUCAUACUUGUUCAACAGUUGAGAUCCCUUGCUGUGUGUGCUUUGCUGUGUUCUUGGACUCAUGAAUAGGCCACAGCGUUGCACAGCUGGAAUCUAACUCAGCAAUACUGUAAGUGUGUAAUGCAAGUGACCAUGCAGUGUGAAUGGACAGUUACUUGCAGAGAACACGAGGAGUUUGUAAAUAAGAUCCCACUAGAUUUUAACGCUCAGCACAAAUCUCAUUUAAAUUGUUUGCACAGUAAGAUGUAUUUGUUUUUGAUUUUAUGAAGUGGGGAGAUAUGGAGGAGCCUUAUCAACUUAGUAAAUGAUAAAAACACAAGCAGCAGCUCAGGCAAGAAGCCAAAUUCUGAUGUGAUUUGAAACCAUAGGACUUACUGAGAUGCAAAUCUGGAUACUCACUUUAUGAUAUCUGGUCAGGUAAUUCAGUACAGUUUGGAUACUGAGCAUAUGGAUGGACUGGAGCACCAGGCUGAACCACUAGGUCUGUUUAAGAGGACCAGACCCUAUUUCUCCAAGCAAAUGAAAGUGAAUGUAUUUGUCUUCUCUGAGAAAAGAAUCCCUGGAAAAACUGAGGAUACCAUUUGCUCGGUGUUACCAUAAGCUACCCGUUCAUUUCCCAUAGGCACUGCCUCACCAUCCCAUUAAAUUCAGACUCAGGUGAGUGGAAAUGCAUUGUCUGAUAACACAGACAGGCCAGGCCCUGCUAGCAGUGUUCUCACCUCAUCCAUUCUUGCAGGUUCUGCGGACAUCAGAUCCUCUUUAUUAAAUUCCUCGUGACAGCUUGUUGUGAGCCCUGCUAUUUCUCAGCACUCAAAUAAGUGUUCCUGAUGACGUGAGUCACAAUUGUUAGUGUCACUCAUUAAAGUGUAUGAAGUCUGUCACCAAUUAAAAAUGACAUUUAUUAAAUGUGGCUAAAGCAGAGGCCUGCUUCUCAUCUUAAGUUUCCAGGGUAGCGUGCAGUGUUGCUGAAUUAUCUGUCCAUGAAGGCAAAGUUUCAUGGUUACAUCCUCAAGGAUUAAUGAGCAUUGGCCAAAGUCGGGACUGAAGUCAGGACCGAAACAUCUGGUCUAAUUUGUCCCUGAACUUUUAGAGUCACCAUCACAUAAUGGGCUUCCAUUGACCACACUUAUUGGUGUCUGCAGUGGGAGAACAGACAUUGCAUUAAUCCAAGUGCCUGCAGGUAGGUCAGAGAUGUCGACAAGGCUCAGUAAAUGGAUACUUGAAGCAUUCUGUAACGGCCAAAGUGCAUUGCUGUGGCUACGUGCCUCCAUUGGAUGUUUGUGUCCACCCAAAGACUUAGAAGUGAAAUUAACCUACGUGCCUCCCUACCAGCUCCCCGUGGGGUGCCUGAGAACAGACCGCACUGCAGUAACGGGGCAGUUCUCACAAACAUUCAGUGCAGACACACCGGCACAAACAGCGCAGUGAGGGAGAGAUGCUUGCAGGGAUUGAUUCCAUGCUUUGCACUGUUUCUAAGGAAAACAUGAGAUGCCUCGAUCGCACAGCUUACACCACAGCCACACGCACAGCAGCUAAGAUUUCUGAUUAUGAUGAAAACGUUAAUUCCACAACCACAAAUUGCAAACAGCAUUACCAGCUGAUGGCAAUACGGUUCCAUCGGGCCUCAGGGCACCCUGCAGCCACCAAAGACUUUACUCUCAGCUUCAGAGGCCUCUGCUCCCACCCUAAGGCAUUUCCAGGCCUGACUUUGCAUUGGCCGCUGCCUUUGCUGCUCAGCCACAUUUGCAGGGUGAGCUUUGGGCGAGCAGAGCUGUGCAAAUUGCAGUUUCCCCAUGAGUGAUUCGUUUUGUUUUGUUCAGGCCCUUCCCCAGGGCAGCAGGUGCAGGAGGAAGGGAAGGUGAAAGAGGAAACAGAAAGGCUGGAGGUGCAGCUGGGGGGAGGGAACAGAAAACAAAGUGCAAAGAGCAAGAGGGGUCCCCGGCCUGGGCUUUAAAACUUAAUUCAAUACUGCAGGAGGGACCUUCUGUCUGCAGGGAGAUGGACAGAGAUCGGGCGCAUCUUUCCCACGUGCAGUUUUCUAUGAUUCACCAGCAAUAGAAGAAGCCUUGCUGCUUCUCUCAGGUAAAAAUCCACUUUCUCUCUGCUCUCUCAGCCUACCAGGCUGAAAUUUGCCCAAGCUGCUCGCUGCGGUGUGUGGAAAGGAAAGGCACCGCCCUGCUGAGAGGAAACAGUUUGACCACACUCAGAUGGUAAAUAUAGUUCCCCUGAGCUGCUGGUGAGGCAGCUGCUAAUGAAUGGCUGCUCUCCCUUCCUGGCCUCCUUAAUUGAGAGAUCAGAGGAAAUAACACCUGGCAGCAAACCCGGAGG